rnacentral:misc_RNA from 1 species
UACGGAGGGUGCGAGCGUUAAUCGGAAUUACUGGGCGUAAAGCGCGCGUAGGCGGUUUGUUAAGUCGGAUGUGAAAGCCCCGGGCUCAACCUGGGAACUGCAUCCGAUACUGGCCGACUAGAGUACGAGAGAGGGAGGUAGAAUUCCACGUGUAGCGGUGAAAUGCGUAGAUAUGUGGAGGAAUACCGGUGGCGAAGGCGACCUCCUGGCUCGAUACUGACGCUGAGGUGCGAAAGCGUGGGGAGCAAACAGG